rnacentral:rRNA from 1 species
AUGCACGCUGGCGGCGUGCCUAAUACAUGCAAGUCGAGCGAACAGAUGAGGAGCUUGCUCCUCUGACGUUAGCGGCGGACGGGUGAGUAACACGUGGAUAACCUACCUAUAAGACUGGGAUAACUUCGGGAAACCGGAGCUAAUACCGGAUAAUAUAUUGAACCGCAUGGUUCAAUAGUGAAAGACGGUUUUGCUGUCACUUAUAGAUGGAUCCGCGCCGCAUUAGCUAGUUAGUAAGGUAACGGCUUACCAAGGCAACGAUGCGUAGCCGACCUGAGAGGGUGAUCGGCCACACUGGAACUGAGACACGGUCCAGACUCCUACGGGAGGCAGCAGUAGGGAAUCUUCCGCAAUGGGCGAAAGCCUGACGGAGCAACGCCGCGUGAGUGAUGAAGGUCUUCGGAUCGUAAAACUCUGUUAUUAGGGAAGAACAAAUGUGUAAGUAACUAUGCACGUCUUGACGGUACCUAAUCAGAAAGCCACGGCUAACUACGUG